rnacentral:tRNA from 1 species
GUCUCUGUGGUGCAAUAGGCUAGCAUGUUUGGCUGUUAACCAAAAGGUUGGUGGUUCAAGCCCACCCACU